AUGCAGGAGAACGAAAAACUGCUGGAGCAGAGGCGAGAGCUGCUGGUGAGGAUCAGUGAAGCCGAGGAGAUGGGGAGCAAAGGCAUGAGGACGGCGUCCACCAUUGAGCACAAAGUCACCGUCUUGGAGGGUGAGAACCGGCAGCUGCAGGAGCGGACUCUGAAACUGUCCAAUCAGGUGUGUUCUCUGGAGCGCGCCCUGAGGAACGCACACUCGCUGUAUAACUAUGAGAAGAAACAGUCCCAGGACGGUUUCAGUGAGCUACACACGUCGUCGGUCAGUUUUACAUCAGCGCCGCGUGAAAAGCUGGACAUUUUGGACGCACUUUGCCGAGUGAAAGUGGACGGGACCAGGCUGUCCUCUCACAGCUUCACCGAGCAGAGUUACCUGAACCUCACCUCGCCUGUGGCUGCCUCAGACGCCAAAGAACCCGAAGAUGGCCCCCCAAACCAGGAAGAGACCUGAGCAGGAUCGAAUCCCAACAGGUUACGAGGAACUGACAGAGCUGUAGCAUCGAUCCACGAAGAAAGAUGAAGAAAUAAAUGCGUAGAAGACAAUUCAAACGGCUUUCAGUGCGUUUCGGCUCAGGUAAAAAAAAAACACCUUGUGCUAAAAUUUUGUGGAGGGACGAUUUUCUAAGGCACUUUGACCAUCAUGCGUUUCCUCUGUGGUAAAUGUAGUAAAUUGCCAGUCAAGUCUUAAGUCUCUGGAUAUUUUUGGUACAAAUAUACAGUAGUUUGAAGGAGGUGAGGACUGUAUAUAAAUAUUGGGAUGUUUGAUGUGAGCACUUUAUGGUUUUAUACUACUUAAUAAAUUGUUUACAUUUGCAGAUGUAGCAGAUAGGAUUAAGAGAGGUCUAGGAAAGAAAGACUUUUUCAUACAUUGGGUUUUUGUGUCAAAUCUCGUUUCAGCGUGAAAUUUAGGGAGAAUAAUGCAAAUACACUAUACACUGAUCAGCCCAUUGUGAAAAUACUGUAUUAAUAUACAAAGAUCUUUCUCAACUCAUGCAUCUUUUGGUGAAACUGCAAAUUGGCUAAAUGGUUAAGUAUUUUGACAUCUUGUAUUAAAACAUAAAAGAUAUUUCUCCACAGGCAGGUUUGAUAAAUAUUGUGGUGUUUAACUUAUUCCUUUUGAAGUGUCAAAGGCUGUUCAGUGUGUAGUGACAGUGGUAUAUCUGAAGUUUUAGUCAGCUGUAAUCUCUUCAGUAUUCACAAUUGUUAUAACUGCACUUCUACUUUAAAUGCUCAGACCAUCAGCAUCAUGUGUUUAGUGUUUAGACCACUAUUUGUUUUGUCUGAAUAAGAGUUGGUAUGAUGUGUACAAUGUGCCUAAAACGAUGCAGUUUGUCUUGCGGCUCUGUCCGAAGACAGAAGCCUAAAUGCGACAGACAAGUUACAGAUACUGUAUUCAUGUAAAUACUUUUAGAAACAAG
rnacentral:lncRNA from 1 species